rnacentral:misc_RNA from 1 species
GGCCUGCCGGUUCCCCUCAGGGGCUAAAGCCCAUCGUACUUUUGUCGCUUUCGGCACGACUGAAGUCGUGCCCUGUUACAAAGCCAAAACAAAUCAAGUUUUUCCGCAGCCUUUGAAGUCGUG